AUAUACAGUAAUUUCGGUUUCUUCGAAUUGAGUUCACUGGUCGACUAAGACAGGGCGCAGGAUACCAUGCAGGGCUGAUAUACAAUGUAAAUAAGGUUGAAAACCGAAAACCAUGACACAGCAAUACAUUAAUAAUCGUUUUUAACAUCUUUGUUACUGGGGAAUCGAUUUAAUCGAAUCAAUUCUCAUGGAAUUGGGAAGAAGCAUUUCCGUCGGGAUGCAUGACGGGAUAGUACGAUAGACUCACGUCAGGUGAUCAGUUUUGCGACACUUAUUUCGACCUGAUAUAACAUUCAUGGCUGGCUUGUUGUACUUGCAUCUAUAUACCUUG